GACGAACGCUGGCGGCGUGCUUAACACAUGCAAGUCGAACGGAAAGGCCCUGCUUUUGUGGGGUGCUCGAGUGGCGAACGGGUGAGUAACACGUGAGUAACCUGCCCUUGACUUUGGGAUAACUUCAGGAAACUGGGGCUAAUACCGGAUAGGAGCUCCUGCUGCAUGGUGGGGGUUGGAAAGUUUCGGCGGUUGGGGAUGGACUCGCGGCUUAUCAGCUUGUUGGUGGGGUAGUGGCUUACCAAGGCUUUGACGGGUAGCCGGCCUGAGAGGGUGACCGGCUGCAUUGGGACUGAGAUACGGCCCAGACUCCUACGGGAGGCAGCAGUGGGGAAUAUUGCACAAUGGGCGGAAGCCUGAUGCAGCAACGCCGCGUGCGGGAUGACGGCCUUCGGGUUGUAAACCGCUUUCGCCUGUGACGAAGCGUGAGUGACGGUAAUGGGUAAAGAAGCACCGGCUAACUACGUG
rnacentral:rRNA from 1 species